GUUUUAAUAAUUUAAGAAUGAAAUAUUGGCCUUGUAAACCAAAAAUAAGAAACCUUUUAAAACU
rnacentral:tRNA from 1 species